rnacentral:rRNA from 1 species
AUUUUGCGCAAUGGGCGAAAGCCUGACGCAGCAACACCGCGUGCGGGAUGAAGGCCCUCGGGUUGUAAACCGCUGUCGGCAGGGAAUAAAUUGACUGUACCUGCAAAGGAAGCACCGGCUAACUACGUGCCAGCAGCCGCGGUAAGACGUAGGGUGCAAGCGUUGUCCGGAAUCAUUGGGCGUAAAGAGUUCGUAGGCGGUUUCUCAAGUCUGGUGUUAAAUACGGGAGCUCAACUCCCGCAUGGCAUUGGAAACUGGGUGACUAGAGUGUGGUAGAGGUUACGGGAAUUCCUGGUGUAGCGGUGAAAUGCGUAGAUAUCAGGAGGAACACCUGUGGCGAAAGCGCGUAACUGGACCAUAACUGACGCUGAGGAACGAAAGCCAGGGGAGCAAAA